UACGUAGGGUGCGAGCGUUAAUCGGAAUUACUGGGCGUAAAGCGUGCGCAGGCGGUUUUGUAAGCCAGAUGUGAAAUCCCCGGGCUUAACCUGGGAAUGGCAUUUGGGACUGCAAGGCUGGAGUGCGGCAGAGGAGACUGGAAUUCCCGGUGUAGCAGUGAAAUGCGUAGAUAUCGAGAGGAACACCGGUGGCGAAGGCGGCCUUCUGGACAGUGACUGACGCUGAGACGCGAAAGCGUGGGGAGCAAACAGG
rnacentral:rRNA from 1 species